AUUUCAAGAAAGAAAGAAGAAGAAAAAAACAGGGUCUGACAAAAAGAAAAGAAGGAAUACAGGAAGAAUGGAAGAAAUCUCAAGGAAAGGAGGAAUUAGAGGGAAAGAAGAGAGAACAGAGAAGAACAGAGAGAAACCUCGUCUUUGGGAAGACUACCACUGCUCUGCUUUAUAUGUGGCUCAGAAGGACAACUUUGCAGCUCAAGCCCACUCAAAAACUAGCUUUUAUGCCAAUUUGUUAGGAUCUGAACCCUAACAAGCAGUUGCAGGAGAGAACAGACUAGAGAAGAGAGAAAUAGCAAGAGAGUUGAGAGAAAGAGACUCUGAAAGGAAAAGAAAGAGAGAAUUUAGACACAGAGAAAGAAACAAAAUAUCUAUUAUUGCUUUAGAAUAAUUCUUCCUCUUACAAUUCUGUUAUUUAUACUCCUCCCCCAUAAUUAACUGUUUCUGCCAAUUGCCAUCCCUUAACUACCUCUAGCUACUCUCAUCUAACUAAUUUCCCUUCAAUUCUUUUACUCAGUCCAUCUCAGCUGCUUACAUCUGCAUUAAAUCAUAUUUCUAUAUUCUUCCUAAAUCUUCUCCUGCAAGAUGUAACAGAAGAUUCAUCUCAGAAAUAGGGGCAGAAUUAGAAAUUUAUGUUGUGGGGCUUCUUUUUUUGUUUG
rnacentral:misc_RNA from 1 species